rnacentral:lncRNA from 1 species
AAACGGUUUCCCGGAUGCACAGCGUGACUGAAAAAGAUCCGUUUCUUUGCAAAGCCACACCUGUAGCCGGUCAGGCCCCUCCAGGGCUGAGGGUGGAACUAAGAAGAUGGCGAGAUCCUUCAAGCACAUUGAAAAAAAAUGGACAAAACCCUUGAACCCGUACAAGCGAAAGAGCGAGACACGCACCAGAUGUUGGCGAAUGUACGAGCAUCACCCCCAUCCCUUGGAAAGAGAGCCUGGAGCUCAGCGCACCUUUCAGCAUCAGUUUCUCCCUUUUCCUGCACUUGAAACAGUCACUGGGCUUCUGGUGGGCCAGCGAUGCGGAAAACAGCGCACAAGAAGGACAUCCUAUGCAGUCGAAAGAAUUUGAGAAAUGCGGAGAUUGCUGCUUAUAUAAAAUAAAAAUGUGCUGGCUGGCGCGCUCA